rnacentral:rRNA from 1 species
AUAUCAAUAAGCGGAGGAAAAGAAACCAACAGGGAUUGCCUCAGUAACGGCGAGUGAAGCGGCAACAGCUCAAAUUUGAAAUCUGGCUCCUCUCGGGGUCCGAGUUGUAAUUUGUAGAGGAUGCUUCGGGCAAGGCUGCGGUCUAAUUUGCUUGGAACAGCGAGUCACAGAGGGUGAGAGUCCCGUCUAGGACCGUGCGCCGCGUCCAUGUGAAGCUCCUUCGACGAGUCGAGUUGUUUGGGAAUGCAGCUCUAAAUGGGUGGUAAAUUUCAUCUAAAGCUAAAUAUUGGCCAGAGACCGAUAGCGCACAAGUAGAGUGAUCGAAAGAUGAAAAGCACUUUGAAAAGAGAGUUAAACAGUAUGUGAAAUUGUUGAAAGGGAAGCGCUUGCAACCAGACUUGCGUGUGACGGUUCCCCCCACCUUCUGGUGGGGCUACUCCGUCAUCUCCAGGCCAGCAUCGGUUUGGGUGGUCGGUCAAAGACCUCGGGAAUGUAUCUACCUUCGGGUCGACUUAUAGCCCGGGGUGCAAUGCGGCCCAUCCAGACCGAGGAACGCGCUUCGGCCCGGAUGCUGGCGUAAUGGUUGCAAGCGGCCCGUCUUGAAACACGGACCAAGGAGUCUAACAUCUAUGCGAGUGUUUGGGUGUCAAACCCCUACGCGGAAUGAAAGUGAACGGAGGUAAGAACCCCGCAAGGGGCGCAUUAUCGACCGAUCCUGAUGUCUUCGGAUGGAUUUGAGUAAGAGCAUAGCUGUUGGGACCCGAAAGAUGGUGAACUAUGCCUGAAUAGGGUGAAGCCAGAGGAAACUCUGGUGGAGGCUCGCAGCGGUUCUGACGUGCAAAUCGAUCGUCAAAUUUGGGCAUAGGGGCGAAAGACCAAUCGAACCAUCUGGUAGCUGGUUCCUGUCGAAGUUUCCCUCAGGAUAGCAGUAACGUUUUCAGUUUUAUGAGGUAAAGCGAAUGAUUAGAGGCCUUGGGGUUGAAACAGCCUUAACCUAUUCUCAAACUUUAAAUAUGUAAGAAGUCCUUGUUACUUAAUUGAACGUGGACAUUUGAAUGUAUCGUUACUAGUGGGCCAUUUUUGGUAAGCAGAACUGGCGAUGCGGGAUGAACCGAACGUGAGGUUAAGGUGCCGGAAUGUACGCUCAUCAGACACCACAAAAGGUGUCAAUGCAUCCAGACAGCCGGACGGUGGCCAUGGAAGUCGGAAUCCGCUUAGGAGUGUGUACCAGCCCUGGGGGGAAGAAUUGUUGCACACGAUGAAUUCUGGUCACGCAGAAUUUAGUUAUGCCGUUGAACCACGCAUGACAAUGGCUCUAUUUGACUGGAAAUCCCAGAGGGGAUGAUCGGUCGUAAAUCCUCAGAUUUAUCUACAGACUAGAAUGAGCCAGCUGUCCCACUCUUCAGUGAAUAGCUAAGAUAUAGUCGAUCCAAGGUCUUUUUGAUCAAGAUCUGUAACCGAGAACAACUCACCGGCCGAAUGCAUUGGCCCUGAAAAUGGAUGGCGCUUAAGCGUGCUACCUAUACCUCGCCGUUGGGGUUGAAAUGAUGCCCCAACGAGUAGGCAGGCGUGGGGGUUGGUGACGAAGCCUUUGGGGUGACCCUGGGUCGAACAACCUCUAGUG